rnacentral:pre_miRNA from 2 species
UUCUAUGGAUAAGCAAAGAAAGUAGUUUCUUGAGAUGGGAUCUACUCCUGUUGAAAACGCUGCAAA